rnacentral:ncRNA from 2 species
UUUUUAAAUAAAGCGCCAGAACUAAUCUGAUCGGAAUCUAAGAUUAGUUGACGAGGUGGAGGUUAUCGAAUCUUCGGCGGAUGCCUCCCGGCUGGGACACACAGUCGAAUGGAGGUUAUCGAAUCUU